GUGAAAUAGAGUAUCCCUGAAAUUUUUACAGUAUUCAAAUUAAUAUUUCUAACAAGAUGAGGUCCAUAACUAAAAUAAAUGAUCGAAUUCCCUCUGAUUAUACAAAAAGGGAAAUAUAAAUGUAUUUAUGUUUCUAUUCUGUUCAAAGAAUUAGAAUUAAAACCACAAAAAGUUUCCUCAUAUCAAAGAAAUUAUUGACUUCUACAGUAUAAAUCUAAUAGAAUUGAGUGCAAGUCAUUUUCACAAGUGUGAAGAUGAAAUUAACCUAUAUGCUGUAGAAUUAAUUUUCUGAAGAAUUCUUCUUUAUUUGGUAAAUAAAAAAACAGGGUAGUUUUUAUCUUUUAUCAUAUAGACAAAAAUGCAUGUUUCUUAAAAUGAAAUUAUAAAGAAAAAGAAUUGUUUGCACUUCAUAUCAGACCAUAGCUACUAUCACCAGUAAGUUUUAUAAGGUUGUUUAAAGCAGAGUUGAUUAUAUGUCAAUUGUCUUAUUAGGGCAUUUAUCUAUAAUAAACUGAAGUAACAAAAA
rnacentral:lncRNA from 1 species